CGAGGCUCAGGACUCAUGGAGGACGAUGAGGAGCCAAUAGUGGAGGAUGUGAUGAUGUCAUCAGAGGACCGCUUGGAGGACAUUAAUGAGGGCAUGGACUUUGACACAAUGGACAUUGAUUUGCCUGCAUCAAAGAAUCGCAGAGAGAGAACUGAACUAAAACCGGACUACUUUGAUCCGUCUUCAAUCAUGGAUGACUCUGUUCUCAAUGUUUCCAUGUUCUAAAACAAAUGGAUGCAUCAAGGAGAAUGUGUUAUCAAAUCCUUGGAAGAUAAGAUGGAUGGCUGUUCUCUGUGAAAAUCAGAAUGGGGCGAAAUGGACUGCUAUAAAUGGUUUGUGAGACACCAACGUUUGCCUCUUUAACACUUUGUUAAACAUUUAGAGCGAGAGCUUGAAUUUGAAUUUUAUUCUGAUAUUUUCACACACAGGACUUUUGUCAUGUUGCAGCUGCAAUGUUUCUGCUUUUGUUCAGUUACCCUUAAAACAACUUGAUGUUAGUUUAGCAGUACAUACAAUAUGUGGCAGGUGCAUGGUGAGGGGAUAAUAACAGAUUGAAAUUCAAAUUAGUUAUAUAUACCUUUAAUCUUUUUGAUUCAGUAGACAGGAAUUGUCUUAUGUAAAUACAUAGUGGCCAAUAUACAGGAGGGGUGAACACAAUUUCAUGAACACCAGUUGAUAGAAAUACAAUAACCCUGCAAAAUAAUGCUUCAGUGUUCAGUCAAACACUAUAAGGACACUGCACUUUGUCACAGAGGUAUUCAUUAAUGUCUAUGAUCAUUUAACAGCCAUAUUUUUAGAAAUGAUCAUAGACUCCAAUCAAUUCCUCUCUGAUGCAAUCUUAACAGAAAUUGAACGUCAUAAGAUUACUAGAAUCAACCUCAUUACAGGGCUAUUGAAUUGGACUGCAUUAUAAUGUAACGGUGUCAGCGAUAUUGCGUUUACCUGCCGUACUUUUAAACUGUAGAAUUUGGCAUGGCAUGUAGCCAUAUAUCGAAACAUGUAUACAGUAAAGUAUAAUGUGAACUGGCGUCUCAUAUUGCUCAAAGGCCUUGCCAGAAAUUAUAUACGACAUUCUCCGAUUUCUUUGUGAUGGUAUUUUUUAGAAAUGUAUGUGUUCUGCUUUUAUACCAUAUGGAUGACUUUCAUUUAUAGAUAUUUUGUAAUGACAAUCAAAUGUAAAUGAAUGGUUUCUAAUCAUGUUAUUUCACAUAGAUGUUGAAAUAAUCAUUUUUAAUGAAAAUGAUUAUGUUACUAAAGAUAUGGCCAGUUGUUUGUAUUUUCUUUGAAUCUCUUUAAUAUGAAUGGGGCAGAAGUAAAGCAUUGCUCAAAUGUAGUAAUUUGACAAAUUGAUGACUGCAUCUACAAUUAUUUUUGAAUAUUGGGAGCAUUCAGAGUAUCAUACAUACAAUUUUGACUCAACCUUAAACAUGAAUCUAUAAACCAUAACCUCCUAUAUCCUAACUAUUUUCUCCACGGUAUAGUAUCUAGUAAUAUCUUAUAAAACAGAUAUGCCAUAGAUUAAAUCUUUAAUAGAAAAUGAUUUUUUUAAACGGGUGAGAAAGCUGUGUGUGUGGUUUCUUUUUUUCCAGUUUGAAAGUGCAGGAUUUUUUCAAAAGCCAAUUUAUUUGAUGAGCCACUGUUGUGUGUAUAAGAAUAAUAGAAUUAUUCUAAAUUACAAAGUUUUAGAAUGCUUUAGUCAUCUAUCAUAGUAUCAGAAUUGUAUAUUAUACAAUUAUAGAUGUGUAAUAUAUUGUGAAUCGGUGCUCAUUUUAUCAUUGUUUCUUUUUGCUUGAAAUUUUAGGGAAAGUUUAAAUAGAAUGUAACUAUUUGAAGUUCACCUACUACCUUGCAAGUAUACAUACAGUACAUUGUUUUGUUUGUCUUUCAAUGGAUUGUUGCGAUAUUUCUUUACCUCUGUGUAUAGGUCUGGUGGGCAGAAUAAGAUUUAAUGGGAAAUGGUGUAUUCAUAUUGUAGUUAGAAACAAGACCCUAAUAUUCCUCCGAAUCUCAUCAUAAACUGGACAAAACGGAUCACAUGGUUUUUAACAUUUCCAUAUACAUACUGACUAUUCAUAUGAGGCAGAUGAGAAAAAUACAUCUUAGAAUUGCUUGUAUAUUUACAUGAAUCUUUCAUUUUGAAUCUUUGUUUGCAUUGAACUGCUGAAAAUGUGCAUACAUCUGUAUGUGUACACAUUUAAAUAUGUGUGUAUAUUAAAUUUGUGUUUUUAUUCUU